rnacentral:rRNA from 1 species
UACGUAGGGUGCGAGCGUUGUCCGGAAUUAUUGGGCGUAAAGAGCUCGUAGGCGGUCUGUCGCGUCUGCUGUGAAAAUCCGGGGCUCAACCCCGGACUUGCAGUGGGUACGGGCAGACUAGAGUGUGGUAGGGGAGACUGGAAUUCCUGGUGUAGCGGUGAAAUGCGCAGAUAUCAGGAGGAACACCGAUGGCGAAGGCAGGUCUCUGGGCCACUACUGACGCUGGAGAAG